AGAAACAGGCAGCCUGACUAGAGAACAAACUACCAAUUAACGAGCGAGGAAACAGGGCCAGAGAAUUGGAACAAAAUACAAGGCUGCCUCUGAAAGGAAUAUCUUUGUGCUGAUGUGUCCAUCAAGAGAACAUACACAGAAGUGACACUUGCCAGUAAUUUGCAAGCAGAUGGAACUUCAAUAUGGCAAUAGAGAAAGAAUCAAUUAGACCAGAGUCUCCUCAGGAAGACUUUCUAUAGGUGGACGGUCCCCUGGAGAGCCCGCUGUGUUGGAAGAUGUAGAAUAUUCAUAUAUCUGGUGAGCAUCUGCUAGAUGCCAGGGUUGGGGAGAGUCAAGUUGAAGCAAGCAUGAACCCUCAAGGACCUACCAUUUCAAGGCAAGAAAUAGAUACAAAUACAGAAAAUAUUUACUGGAUAGCUACUAGACAUAAGGAUGCAGAAAUGAAUUAGAAAAAUUCCUCGCCCUUGUUCAAAGCUAUGCUGGCUCUUAGAACAUCUGAGCCCCCACUGUUUCAUCUUUAGAGGAUCCCAGCUGCUGGGGUGUGAGGCCAGUGCUGGAGCCAGCAGUCUCUGACCCAGAAGGGACCUGAGGUGCUAAAGAAAAGGGUACAAGCUGGAAAAGGGGAAAAUGAAUCAUGCUACAGGCCAAGUGUCCAUCACUGAUUCCCAGAGAUGCCCUUUGUGUGGUAGGCACUUCCAUGUGGACUCGCUACAGAGUUUGGAGUUCCUGAACAACAUGGACAGUGUUAAUUUGGAUUCCAUGCUUCAUGGCACAGAAUUGGAGCACUAACUACUCAGUGAUGACUUUCUCUUCCUCUAGCUAAGGUGAUCAACAAGUUUCCUUGUUCUUUCUCCAAGUAGUAGAAGAAAGUAAAGGUCAUAAGACCCUAAUUCCAGAGGGCCCUACCCUAUAACCAGAAGGAAGAACUAUUGCACAGAGAAUCUAAGAAGAAUCUAGACAGACAGCCCUUGCUGGAUUUCUCCACUCUGUUAGCAUUCGAUCAUUUGCCUUUUGUCCAGUCAUAUUUCUGCAUGGCUGUCCAUACUUUGUUGAACCUAAGCACAAAAUGGAAAGUUUUCCCUGUAUCUUUGGGUCGUCAUUCUGAAGGCUCCCAUGUUAUGUAAAACUAUGAUCAAAUAAAUAUGCAUGCCUUUUCUC
rnacentral:lncRNA from 1 species